GUUUGGUAUCAAGUAGUCCCAAACAAAUAUGUUUACAGUAUAAUUGUAGAUUGAUUAGUUUGAAAAUAUAAAAAUUGCUAAAACUAAUGAAGACAACUAGUCCGUUAAAGUUGUAAAACGAUUAGUCUCUUUUCGGAUCCAAAUAGGUGUUAUGAACCUCUUCAAAGGACAUGCUUGAAUAAAAACGCUAAUCGCAGACUCAUCGCAGAAUCCUGUCGAAGUUUUUGCAGGGUAUAUCUUUUAUGCUCUUGUAUGUGAGCUACUAUGUACAUACCAUAUAUAUGUAUGUAUAUGUUUGCAACAACGUCAUUUCAUAAUGCAAAAUUUGCUUGCGGCAAGCAGUAUAAAUAACGCAAAUAAAAUGAAAAUUGAAAAAAGUUUUGUCAAGAAUUUUUUGUGUGAUACAUCAAAUAUUUUUGAAGAGUGAUAAGUAAGGACUACAACUUUGAUCAAAAAUGUGUGAAUCGGAACAAUAACUAACUUCUAUGGAUACUCAGCUUGGAAAAUAAAUUUAUACAGUUACGUCAAAGAGAUCCCUUCAAUAUCCAAAAUUCGUACUCGUAUUGAAUAUAGCAUAAGCGCUUUUCAAAAUCUAAGGCCAAACUAUAAAAAUCUUAAAAGUAUUUAGACCUGGAAGAUCAUUAUAUAACAAUUAUAUAUAUAUAUUAAUUAAUUUAUAAAAAAAAAAUAAUGGUUACGGAACACUAUACGAGUAUAAGAUUCCCAUACAAAAAUUAAGAGUGAUGUAUAGUUGUAUAUUUAUUUUUAAAUAUAAUUUCAGCAGUCUAGAAAAUGUAUGUUAUUGUAUGUUAAUAAUCGCAUUGUCGCUGGGCAUAAUAAAUCGAGCCAAUGCAAUUUUAAA